ACGAACGCUGGCGGCACGCUUAACACAUGCAAGUCGAACGAGAGAAGAGAAGCUUGCUUUUCUGAUCUAGUGGCGGACGGGUGAGUAACACGUGAGCAAUCUGCCUUUCAGAGGGGGAUACCGAUUGGAAACGAUCGUUAAUACCGCAUAACAUAAUUGAACCGCAUGAUUUGAUUAUCAAAGAUUUAUCGCUGAAAGAUGAGCUCGCGUCUGAUUAGCUAGUUGGUAAGGUAACGGCUUACCAAGGCGACGAUCAGUAGCCGGACUGAGAGGUUGAUCGGCCACAUUGGGACUGAGACACGGCCCAGACUCCUACGGGAGGCAGCAGUGGGGAAUAUUGCACAAUGGAGGAAACUCUGAUGCAGCGAUGCCGCGUGAGGGAAGAAGGUUUUAGGAUUGUAAACCUCUGUCUUCAGGGACGAAAAAAGACGGUACCUGAGGAGGAAGCUCCGGCUAACUACGUGCCAGCAGCCGCGGUAAUACGUAGGGAGCGAGCGUUGUCCGGAAUUACUGGGUGUAAAGGGAGCGUAGGCGGGAUCGCAAGUCAGAUGUGAAAACUAUGGGCUUAACCCAUAAACUGCAUUUGAAACUGUGGUUCUUGAGUGAAGUAGAGGUAAGCGGAAUUCCUAGUGUAGCGGUGAAAUGCGUAGAUAUUAGGAGGAACAUCAGUGGCGAAGGCGGCUUACUGGGCUUUAACUGACGCUGAGGCUCGAAAGCGUGGGGAGCAAACAGGAUUAGAUACCCUGGUAGUCCACGCCGUAAACGAUGAUUACUAGGUGUGGGGGGACUGACCCCUUCCGUGCCGCAGCAAACGCAAUAAGUAAUCCACCUGGGGAGUACGACCGCAAGGUUGAAACUCAAAGGAAUUGACGGGGGCCCGCACAAGCAGUGGAGUAUGUGGAUUAAUUCGAAGCAACGCGAAGAACCUUACCAGGUCUUGACAUCGUAUGCAUAGCUCAGAGAUGAGUGAAAUCUCUUCGGAGACAUAUAGACAGGUGGUGCAUGGUUGUCGUCAGCUCGUGUCGUGAGAUGUUGGGUUAAGUCCCGCAACGAGCGCAACCCUUACUGUUAGUUGCUACGCAAGAGCACUCUAGCAGGACUGCCGUUGACAAAACGGAGGAAGGUGGGGAUGACGUCAAAUCAUCAUGCCCCUUAUGACCUGGGCCUCACACGUACUACAAUGGCUGUCAACAGAGGGAUGCAAAGCCGCGAGGUGGAGCGAACCCCUAAAAGCAGUCUUAGUUCGGAUUGUAGGCUGCAACCCGCCUACAUGAAGUCGGAAUUGCUAGUAAUCGCAGAUCAGCAUGCUGCGGUGGAUACGUUCCCGGGCCUUGUACACACCGCCCGUCACGCCAUGGGAGUCGGUAACACCCGAAGCCUGUAGUCUAACCGCAAGGAGGACGCAGUCGAAGGUGGGAUUGAUGACUGGGGUG
rnacentral:rRNA from 1 species